rnacentral:snoRNA from 1 species
AGCGCUAUACUUUCCAUGUAUCAUUCCUACAGGUCAUUACUAGAGAAGGUCACUGUGAGCAUAUAGAGGCCCUGUAACUAUGAGGAGCCUCAACAUCUCCUCCUGAGCAUGAAGAUGGAUCUAGCUGUUGCUUUUGUAACUGCCUUUUGCCACUGGUGAUCAUUCUUGUCUUCUCUUGGGAGAGGAGAGGGAGAGGACACAGUCUGGGUAA